UACGGAGGGGCAAGCGUUGUUCGGAAUUACUGGGCGUAAAGGGCGUGUAGGCGGCCAUUCAAGUCAGACGUGAAAGACCUGGGCUUAACCGAGGAUGUGCGUAUGAUACUGGAAGGCUUGAGAUCGGGAGAGGAAAGUAGAAUUCCUAGUGUAGAGGUGAAAUUCGUAGAUAUUAGGAGGAAUACCAGUGGCGAAGGCGGCUUUCUGGACCGAAUCUGACGCUGAGGCGCGAAAGCGUGGGGAGCAAAC
rnacentral:rRNA from 1 species